CAAGUCGAGGGGCAGCACAAAUGAAGCUUGCUUUAUUGGUGGCGACCGGCGCACGGGUGCGUAACGCGUAUGCAACCUACCCUGUACUGGGGUAUAGCCCGGAGAAAUUCGGAUUAAUCCCCCAUGGUAUUAUGGAUCUGCAUGGAUUUAUAAUUAAAGGUUACGGUACAGGAUGGGCAUGCGUCCUAUUAGCUAGAUGGUGAGGUAACGGCUCACCAUGGCGACGAUAGGUAGGGGGCCUGAGAGGGUGGUCCCCCACACUGGUACUGAGACACGGACCAGACUCCUACGGGAGGCAGCAGUGAGGAAUAUUGGUCAAUGGGCGCAAGCCUGAACCAGCCAUGCCGCGUGAAGGAAGAAGGUUCUAUGGAUUGUAAACUUCUUUUAUUUAGGAAUAAACCUCUCGACGUGUCGGGAGCUGAAGGUACUAAAUGAAUAAGCACCGGCUAACUCCGUGCCAGCAGCCGCGGUAAUACGGAGGGUGCAAGCGUUAUCCGGAAUCAUUGGGUUUAAAGGGUCCGCAGGCGGAUUUAUAAGUCAGUGGUGAAAUCCUGCAGCUCAACUGCAGAACUGCCAUUGAUACUGUAAGUCUUGAAUUUGAUCGGAGUGGGCGGAAUGUGUAGUGUAGCGGUGAAAUGCAUAGAUAUUACACAGAACACCGAUAGCGAAGGCAGCUCACUAGGUUAUAAUUGACGCUCAUGGACGAAAGCGUGGGGAUCAAACAGGAUUAGAUACCCUGGUAGUCCACGCCCUAAACGAUGUCGACUAGUUGUCGGGCCUUUACAGGUUCGGUAACGCAGCUAACGCGUGAAGUCGACCGCCUGGGGAGUACGGUCGCAAGAUUAAAACUCAAAGGAAUUGACGG
rnacentral:rRNA from 1 species